GGGGAAUAUUGCACAAUGGGGGAAACCCUGAUGCAGCGACGCCGCGUGGAGGAAGAAGGUCUUCGGAUUGUAAACUCCUGUUGUUGAGGAAGAUAAUGACGGUACUCAACAAGGAAGUGACGGCUAACUACGUGCCAGCAGCCGCGGUAAAACGUAGGUCACAAGCGUUGUCCGGAAUUACUGGGUGUAAAGGGAGCGCAGGCGGGAGAACAAGUUGGAAGUGAAAUCCAUGGGCUCAACCCAUGAACUGCUUUCAAAACUGUUUUUCUUGAGUAGUGCAGAGGUAGGCGGAAUUCCCGGUGUAGCGGUGGAAUGCGUAGAUAUCGGGAGGAACACCAGUGGCGAAGGCGGCCUACUGGGCACCAACUGACGCUGAGGCUCGAAAGUGUGGGUAGCAAACAGGAUUAGAUACCCUGGUAGUCCACACCGUAAACGAUGAUUACUAGGUGUUGGAGGAUUGACCCCUUCAGUGCCGCAGUUAACACAAUAAGUAAUCCACCUGGGGAGUACGACCGCAAGGUUGAAACUCAAAGGAAUUGACGGGGGCCCGCACAAGCAGUGGAGUAUGUGGUUUAAUUCGACGCAACGCGAAGAACCUUACCAAGUCUUGACAUCCCUUGACGAACAUAGAAAUAUGUUUUCUCUUCGGAGCAAGGAGACAGGUGGUGCAUGGUUGUCGUCAGCUCGUGUCGUGAGAUGUUGGGUUAAGUCCCGCAACGAGCGCAACCCUUAUGGUCAGUUACUACGCAAGAGGACUCUGGCCAGACUGCCGUUGACAAAACGGAGGAAGGUGGGGAUGACGUCAAAUCAUCAUGCCCCUUAUGUUCUGGGCUACACACGUGCUACAAUGGUCGGUACAAAGAGCAGCGAGGCCGUGAGGCGGAGCAAAUCUCAAAAGCCGAUCCCAGUUCGGAUUGUAGGCUGCAACUCGCCUACAUGAAGUCGGAGUUGCUAGUAAUCGCAGAUCAGAAUGCUGCGGUGAAUGCGUUCCCG
rnacentral:rRNA from 1 species